rnacentral:rRNA from 1 species
AGCCUGAAUCAGUGUGUGUGUUAGUGGAAGCGUCUGGAAAGGCGCGCGAUACAGGGUGACAGCCCCGUACACAAAAAUGCACAUACUGUGAGCUCGAUGAGUAGGGCGGGACACGUGGUAUCCUGUCUGAAUAUGGGGGGACCAUCCUCCAAGGCUAAAUACUCCUGACUGACCGAUAGUGAACCAGUACCGUGAGGGAAAGGCGAAAAGAACCCCGGCGAGGGGAGUGAAAAAGAACCUGAAACCGUGUACGUACAAGCAGUGGGAGCCUCUUAAUGGGGUGACUGCGUACCUUUUGUAUAAUGGGUCAGCGACUUAUAUUCUGUAGCAAGGUUAACCGAAUAGGGGAGCCGAAGGGAAACCGAGUCUUAACUGGGCGUUAAGUUGCAGGGUAUAGACCCGAAACCCGGUGAUCUAGCCAUGGGCAGGUUGAAGGUUGGGUAACACUAACUGGAGGACCGAACCGACUAAUGUUGAAAAAUUAGCGGAUGACUUGUGGCUGGGGGUGAAAGGCCAAUCAAACCGGGAGAUAGCUGGUUCUCCCCGAAAGCUAUUUAGGUAGCGCCUCGUGAAUUCAUCUCCGGGGGUAGAGCACUGUUUCGGCAAGGGGGUCAUCCCGACUUACCAACCCGAUGCAAACUGCGAAUACCGGAGAAUGUUAUCACGGGAGACACACGGCGGGUGCUAACGUCCGUCGUGAAGAGGGAAACAACCCAGACCGCCAGCUAAGGUCCCAAAGUCAUGGUUAAGUGGGAAACGAUGUGGGAAGGCCCAGACAGCCAGGAUGUUGGCUUAGAAGCAGCCAUCAUUUAAAGAAAGCGUAAUAGCUCACUGGUCGAGUCGGCCUGCGCGGAAGAUGUAACGGGGCUAAACCAUGCACCGAAGCUGCGGCAGCGACACUAUGUGUUGUUGGGUAGGGGAGCGUUCUGUAAGCCUGUGAAGGUGUACUGUGAGGUAUGCUGGAGGUAUCAGAAGUGCGAAUGCUGACAUAAGUAACGAUAAAGCGGGUGAAAAGCCCGCUCGCCGGAAGACCAAGGGUUCCUGUCCAACGUUAAUCGGGGCAGGGUGAGUCGACCCCUAAGGCGAGGCCGAAAGGCGUAGUCGAUGGGAAACAGGUUAAUAUUCCUGUACUUGGUGUUACUGCGAAGGGGGGACGGAGAAGGCUAUGUUGGCCGGGCGACGGUUGUCCCGGUUUAAGCGUGUAGGCUGGUUUUCCAGGCAAAUCCGGAAAAUCAAGGCUGAGGCGUGAUGACGAGGCACUACGGUGCUGAAGCAACAAAUGCCCUGCUUCCAGGAAAAGCCUCUAAGCAUCAGGUAACAUCAAAUCGUACCCCAAACCGACACAGGUGGUCAGGUAGAGAAUACCAAGGCGCUUGAGAGAACUCGGGUGAAGGAACUAGGCAAAAUGGUGCCGUAACUUCGGGAGAAGGCACGCUGAUAUGUAGGUGAAGUCCCUUGCGGAUGGAGCUGAAAUCAGUCGAAGAUACCAGCUGGCUGCAACUGUUUAUUAAAAACACAGCACUGUGCAAACACGAAAGUGGACGUAUACGGUGUGACGCCUGCCCGGUGCCGGAAGGUUAAUUGAUGGGGUUAGCGGUAACGCGAAGCUCUUGAUCGAAGCCCCGGUAAACGGCGGCCGUAACUAUAACGGUCCUAAGGUAGCGAAAUUCCUUGUCGGGUAAGUUCCGACCUGCACGAAUGGCGUAAUGAUGGCCAGGCUGUCUCCACCCGAGACUCAGUGAAAUUGAACUCGCUGUGAAGAUGCAGUGUACCCGCGGCAAGACGGAAAGACCCCGUGAACCUUUACUAUAGCUUGACACUGAACAUUGAGCCUUGAUGUGUAGGAUAGGUGGGAGGCUUUGAAGUGUGGACGCCAGUCUGCAUGGAGCCGGCCUUGAAAUACCACCCUUUAAUGUUUGAUGUUCUAACGUUGGCCCCUGAUCGGGGUUGCGGACAGUGUCUGGUGGGUAGUUUGACUGGGGCGGUCUCCUCCUAAAGAGUAACGGAGGAGCACGAAGGUUGGCUAAUCCUGGUCGGACAUCAGGAGGUUAGUGCAAUGGCAUAAGCCAGCUUGACUGCGAGCGUGACGGCGCGAGCAGGUGCGAAAGCAGGUCAUAGUGAUCCGGUGGUUCUGAAUGGAAGGGCCAUCGCUCAACGGAUAAAAGGUACUCCGGGGAUAACAGGCUGAUACCGCCCAAGAGUUCAUAUCGACGGCGGUGUUUGGCACCUCGAUGUCGGCUCAUCACAUCCUGGGGCUGAAGUAGGUCCCAAGGGUAUGGCUGUUCGCCAUUUAAAGUGGUACGCGAGCUGGGUUUAGAACGUCGUGAGACAGUUCGGUCCCUAUCUGCCGUGGGCGCUGGAGAACUGAGGGGGGCUGCUCCUAGUACGAGAGGACCGGAGUGGACGCAUCACUGGUGUUCGGGUUGUCAUGCCAAUGGCACUGCCCGGUAGCUAAAUGCGGAAGAGAUAAGUGCUGAAAGCAUCUAAGCACGAAACUUGCCCCGAGAUGAGUUCUCCCUGACUCCUUGAGAGUCCUGAAGGAACGUUGAAGACGACGACGUUGAUAGGCCGGGUGUGUAAGCGCAGCGAUGCGUUGAGCUAACCGGUACUAAUGAACCGUGAGGCUUAACCUUACAACGCCGAAGGUGUUU